GACGAACGCUGGCGGCGUGCUUAACACAUGCAAGUCGAACGGAAAGGCCCUGCUUUUGUGGGGUGCUCGAGUGGCGAACGGGUGAGUAACACGUGAGUAACCUGCCCUUGACUUUGGGAUAACUUCAGGAAACUGGGGCUAAUACCGGAUAGGAGCUCCUGCUGCAUGGUGGGGGUUGGAAAGUUUCGGCGGUUGUGGAUGGACUCGCGGCUUAUCAGCUUGUUGGUGGGGUAGUGGCUUACCAAGGCUUUGACGGGUAGCCGGCCUGAGAGGGUGACCGGCCUCAUUAGGACUGAGGUACGGCCCAGACUCCUACGGGAGGCAACAGGGGGGAAUAUUGCACAAUGGGGGGAAGCCUGAUGCAGCAACGCCGCGUGCGGAAUGACGGCCUUCGGGUUAUAAACCGCUUUCGCCUGUGACGAAGCGUGAGUGACGGUAAUGGGUAAAGAAGCACCGGCUAACUACGUG
rnacentral:rRNA from 1 species